AUGAUCCACCAUUCAUAUACAUCAUCAUAUUACCAGGAAGAACUGGUGUCUCUGAAUAUGAACCCGGCAUAUAUAUCAUUGGUGCAGCAUCUCUUUGUUUAUUUGAACUAGCAUAAUAAUUAGCCAUAUCUAUCUUUAGAUUUUCCGGCCUGAUUACUUGAGUCAGAUUACAUAAUCAUCCAAGGAACUGGAAACCAGUAACACUUGUGGUUGUUAUAGCGAACAUAAAACCUCAAAGACACCAUUCGAUUCGCUGAUACACAAAUCCGAUCCCAUUACAACAAAAUAACAACACAACACUUCCUUUUCAUUACACCCCCCUAUUGACCUAUGCAUACAAUUGCAAAGGACAAACAGCAAGAAAGAAAAAAAGAUAAAUCCUUUCUCUUCUUUUUGUUUCUAAAAAGAAAAGAGAGUGAUAAUUAGAUUUGAAAGUAGCAAUGAAUUUCCUCACUUUUGAUCUUCUUCUCUCAUCAUUUAUUCUCUAGCCAUCAUUCCAUCAAAACGCCACGUGAGCAUCUCUC
rnacentral:misc_RNA from 1 species